UACGAAGGGGGCUAGCGUUGCUCGGAAUUACUGGGCGUAAAGGGCGCGUAGGCGGACAUUUAAGUCAGAGGUGAAAUCCCGGAGCUUAACUUCGGAACUGCCUUUGAUACUGGAUGUCUUGAGUGUGAGAGAGGUAUGUGGAACUCCGAGUGUAGAGGUGAAAUUCGUAGAUAUUCGGAAGAACACCAGUGGCGAAGGCGACAUACUGGCUCAUUACUGACGCUGAGGCUCGAAAGCGUGGGGAGCGAACCGG
rnacentral:rRNA from 1 species